AAACACCAUUUCUGAUCAAUUUCUAUCAAUUAGAAACUACAACAUCUCCAACCAUUAUUGGUAAGCCAUCUCUGACCUACACUUUCCGGCCACUGGCCACCAUCUCCGACCAACUACCACCGCUUGCGUCCACCGAUACUAUCACUCUUACCCUCAUAACCGGAAAUCUAAAAAUCCAUAAAACCCAAAAAAUCCAGAAAAAACCCAAAAACUCUCACUAUGGUUGUAGAGUUGAAACCCUAGCAUGCAGAACCACAAAACCACUAUCAUUAAAAAGAGAGCGAUAAAGAUGAGGUGGUGGUCGUCGGAUGUGCAGAGAGAGGAGGGAUAAUGAGGCGUUAAGGAUACCGAUCUAUUGAAACUCACAAUUCAUAAAUUUAAUCAACUACUGAGAUAGCAGAUCUAUAAGAGGGUGAGGUGCUUCAUCACCAGUGGGAUUGGGGCUUGGAUUUCCGAUGAUGGUUCCAGUCUACCAGAUUUUUGUUCUUCAACAGAUGUGCAGAGAGAAGGGGAGAUUGAGGCGUUGAGGAUAGUGGUGUGCAUGUGGAAUGAAACAAUGGUGCUCGACUGGCCGUCGUUGUCUCCUUAUUUCUUACCUAAUCCGGAGAUUGAGCCGCCACCGCCCACCUGCCUCCCUGACGCCAGAGCUCCUCCUUGUUUGUUCUCCGGCAAGACAAACCGUCACCAUACAACGUCAUCAAACUCCUACCAGAGCUCCACCUACUUCUGGACACUGAUGAAAUCAAUAAUUCUUGAAUUUCUGAUGGGUUUUAUAUAGAUGAAAGAAGAGAGAAAGGGGGAAUAGCUGGAGCGGUGUCCUCACGUUCCAAAAGAAGUGAUUGCAAUGCUUUCAAGAGCUCCUUUUUGCUUAUUCCAUAUGCUUUGGUUGUCAAUGCAGCAGGAUGGCUCUUGUUUUUGUCAUAUGGGAUUGAAAUCUCUUCUGCCAUUCUCCUUCCUUCAUGGAAGGAUUCAUAUGCCUCAGCAAAUUCUUUCGCUGUGAUAAACCUGUAAGGUUGGUCUCUCUCUCUCUCUCUAUCCAGUAUUGCUCCUGGUCUUUCUUUGAUGUUACCUACACAAACAUGUGUCUGCGUGUGAGUGCGCGCUUUUACAUAAGCUUUUUCGGCCAAAUAACUUCAUGAAAGUCUCGUGGAGCCUUUUCAUUUUGCUUGUAAAAAUUUACAAGCUUGAUCAUAUAUAUUCAUAUGAGGUUUUCAUGAUUCA